rnacentral:rRNA from 1 species
AUUGAACGCUGGCGGCAUGCCUUACACAUGCAAGUCGAACGGCAGCACGGGAGCAAUCCUGGUGGCGAGUGGCGAACGGGUGAGUAAUACAUCGGAACGUGCCCAGUUGUGGGGGAUAGCCCGGCGAAAGCCGGAUUAAUACCGCAUACGACCUGUGGGUGAAAGCGGGGGAUCGCAAGACCUCGCGCAAUUGGAGCGGCCGAUGUCAGAUUAGGUAGUUGGUGGGGUAAAGGCCCACCAAGCCGACGAUCUGUAGCUGGUCUGAGAGGACGACCAGCCACACUGGGACUGAGACACGGCCCAGACUCCUACGGGAGGCAGCAGUGGGGAAUUUUGGACAAUGGGCGCAAGCCUGAUCCAGCCAUGCCGCGUGUGGGAAGAAGGCCUUCGGGUUGUAAACCACUUUUGUCAGGGAAGAAACGGCUUAGUUUAAUACGCUGAGCUAAUGACGGUACCUGAAGAAUAAGCACCGGCUAACUACGUGCC